rnacentral:rRNA from 1 species
CCUACGGGAGGCAGCAGUGGGGAAUCUUCCGCAAUGGGCGCAAGCCUGACGGAGCAACGCCGCGUGAAUGAAGAAGGUCUUCGGAUCGUAAAGUUCUGUUCUUCGGGAAGAAGUCUUAGGUUGUGAAUAAUGACUUAAGGUGACGGUAACUAUGGAGAAAUCUCCGGCUAACUACGUGCCAGCAGCCGCGGUAAUACGUAGGGAGCGAGCGUUGUUCGGAAUUACUGGGCGGAAAGGACGCGUAGGCGGGAACUUAAGUUAGAAGUGCAACCUCCGGGCUUAACCUGGAGACUGCAUUUAAAACUGGGUUUCGUGAGGGCAGGUGAGGAAAGUGG